AAACUUUGAACAAACGUGGCCAAAGUUGGAUGAAAAUUAAAAUUUUUCGACCAUUACGGAUUUUACCUGGUCUGAAGUUGGAGUGUAUUAUUUGACCAUUUUUUGGACAGGUGCGGGAGCUGCCGGCCAUUUGCCCUAGCAGGCGGAGAGAGGUCGUGGAGUGUCAGCCUAUGGUAUCUGAGGUCCAGGAGAGAUGACCUGCGCUGUUUUCCUCUGAGGAGAUAUCUGAAAAUUUCAUCGGAUCACAAGCAAAGACCUCCUGGGGACCUUCAAUGCAUCCCUUGACAAAGUUGUGCCUGGCCUGCUGAAACUGUACUGGUCUAAGAAGGGAGCUCUUGGUGAGGAGAUGGAAGACCUCCUGGAUAAACUUGAUGAACAGACAUCCAACACUGUGUCCAACGGGCACUGAGAGGCCUGCCCAUUUUCCUCAAGAGAAGAUGCAACAGAGGUUUUCCUGAAGUGCUUAGACACUGACAUUUUGGAACCAGUGUUGAACGGUGCAUCAGUUGCCAUCCUCACCAUCCUACAAGAUGACGAUGCUGAUACGUCUGUGCGAGAACAUGCAGUUGUGUUGGAAGGGGACAUUGUGCUACAUAACAUUCCAGAUCUCUCUACUGCCCUGGCACACCUCUUUGGCCUUCUGUAUGCCCUCAACAUUGAUUAUCCAAAGCAGAUGAGUUUUACCUUUGAAGCAAAUCAGGCCAUCUUAUUUUGGCCUGGUCGGACAAUAUGAAGGUGAAGUGGAUAAAUCAUUAUUCGAAAUGUAAAUUUUAGUCAGAUGAAUCUGUAUUGUUGAGAAUAUAUGGUGAAAAUUUGUCUUGUAGUAUUUUAAAAGACUUGUUAUAGUGUUAGUUUCCUCUUCAUUGAUGGUAACAUUUCUAAGAACUUUUAACUUCCAUAGUUCAUCAUAGUAAGCCUGUGUAAAAUGUCAAUGUCUGGGUGCAUAGGCAAUCGUUUGUAGCACUACCCUAUUUAAUGUGCAAUAGUUA